rfam:Fusarium langsethiae strain Fl201059 Fl201059_contig26, whole genome shotgun sequence.
GACAACGUGUCCGAGUGGUUAAGGAGAUAGACUUGAAUCAGAAUGAUUGGAUAUCUAUUGGCUUCGGCCUCGCAGGUUCGAAUCCUGUCGUUGUCG